GAUGAACGCUGGCGGCGUGCCUAAUACAUGCAAGUCGAGCGAACAGACGAUGAGCUUGCUCCUCUGACGGUAGCGGCGGACGGGUGAGUAACACGUGGAUAACCUACCUAUAAGACGGGGAUAAUAUCGGGAAACCGGAGCUAAUACCGGAGAAUAUAUUGUACGGGAGGGUUCAAGAGUGCAACAGGGCUUUGGUGUCUCGAUUAGCUGGAUCCGCGCUGCAUACGCUGGUUGGUAAGGGAACGCCUUACCAAGGCACCGAUGCGUAGCCGACCUGAGAGGUUGCUCGGCCACCCUGGACCUGAGACACGGUCCAGCCUCCUACGGGAGGCAGCAUUAGGGAUUCUUCCGCAAUGGGCGAAAGCCUGACGGAGCAACGCGGCGUGAGUGAUGAAGGUCUUCGGUUCGUAAAACUCUGUUAUUAGGGAAGAACAAAUGUGUAAGUAACUAUGCACGUCUUGACGGUACCUAAUCAGAAAGCCCCGGCUACCUCCUU
rnacentral:rRNA from 1 species